UACGAAGGGGGCUAGCGUUGCUCGGAAUUACUGGGCGUAAAGCGCACGUAGGCGGAUUCUUAAGUCAGGGGUGAAAUCCCGGAGCUCAACUCCGGAACUGCCUUUGAUACUGAGAAUCUCGAGUCCGGGAGAGGUGAGUGGAACUCCGAGUGUAGAGGUGAAAUUCGUAGAUAUUCGGAAGAACACCAGUGGCGAAGGCGGCUCACUGGCCCGGUACUGACGCUGAGGUGCGAAAGCGUGGGGAGCAAACAGG
rnacentral:rRNA from 1 species